rnacentral:hammerhead_ribozyme from 1 species
ACCCAGCUGACGAGUCCCAAAUAGGACAAAACACGCGUCCUGGGU